rnacentral:rRNA from 1 species
UACGAAGGGUGCAAGCGUUACUCAGAAUUACUGGGCGUAAAGCGUGCGUAGGUGGUUCGUUAAGUCUGAUGUGAAAGCCCUGGGCUCAACCUGGGGAAUGGCAUUGGAUACUGGCGGGCUAGAGUGCGGUAGAGGGCAGUGGAAUUCCCGGUGUAGCAGUGAAAUGCGUAGAGAUCGGGAGGAACAUCUGUGGCGAAGGCGACUGCCUGGACCAGCACUGACACUGAGGCACGAAAGCGUGGGGAGCAAACAGG